UGCUCCCCGCUACGGAGCUGCUGCUCUCUGCCGGGCCCUGGGCUAAGGGCCUUUCACAUGUGUUUGACCCUCACCCACCUUUAUGAGAUCCUGACACUCAGCUCCUGAAACCCUUGUAAUUUCCUGAGGAAUGGAGGUAUUAGGAGCUGCGAACGAACAGCCUUAGGUUUUCCAUCUGCAAAAUGAAGAUGACAAAUUAAACGAGAAGAGCCGUUUGAAGAGCAUGGGAAGGGGUGCAGAUGUGCUCACUUCUUUCUUCCAUUACCAUCCAUGAGAUUGAAGGAAGCAGCCGCUUGCCACGUAGAGGACACCCCGUUUCAGCAGCCACAUGUGGGAUUGCUUUGGUCCCGACGUGCAAACAUGUUUAAGCCCAGCUUCUUGAGAGCUCACGUGGAUAUCUGGUUCUGGCAGAGUUAUUUUUAUGUGUUCAAGAGAGAAGAAAAUAAAGAGCGACAUCCU